CAUCAGAUGUGAAAACGUGUCGAACAAAAUUUUAGACGAACAAGUCGUCUGAAUUUGUUCGACUACUUGUCCGUCUGUGAAGACGAUUUUUGAGAGACGAUUUGUUCGUCUAGACGACUUGUCCGUCUCUAAUGUGAAUAGGGCUAAUCUGUCAAUCCUUAAGUUCAAUUGUAGUACAUGCAGUACAACUGUAGUAUAGUUAUGGCCAGAAAUCACGGACAUAAUUAUUCUAUUUCCUUACUAAUUUGAACAUCGUGCAUGGAUGCAUAUAUAACCCGUUGAAAUAUGGCUUCUUCAUGCAGUAAACAGUAAAUUAUGUUACGCGAUGCUGUAAAUCGGAAAAUACGGUAGCUUAGUUCUCGACAUAUUUAGACCGAAAUUAAUAAGCUGUCCGCCAUAUUGGACAAAUUCUUGACCUCAUUAACUAUGAUUUUGAUGACGUCAGGAGUUGGGUUAACCAUAUAAAACUGCUCUAAAAUGACCGAGUAACAAUCCAGAAUUGUUUGAAAUGUUUUUAACAAUUUCUAAAGUUCAGACAGCAACCAGAAACGAAGUUUAAUUUGGACCCAUAUUGAUCGCUUACUCUCAAGAUAAAAAAUUAGCGUGACCCCUCUCUUGACGUAACAUGCAUAUCCUCAAUAAUCCAAGAUGGCGAACAGCUCACUUUUUCCAGUCGAAAUAUUUUGAAAACUAAGCAAGAUAUAAACAAUCUAUAGUAGAGUUUAAUAUAUAUAGUUUUAAGAGUUCUUUCAAAUGAACUAAACUAAUUUUUUAUUGCCAAUGUCCUUUACAGUCAAACCGGAUGUUCUCUUGCGAGCA